CCUACGGGAGGCAGCAGUGGGGAAUAUUGCGCAAUGGGCGAAAGCCUGACGCAGCAACGCCGCGUGAGGGAUGAAGGCCUUCGGGUUGUAAACCUCUUUUAUCAGGGAAGAAGCGAAAGUGACGGUACCUGAAGAAAAAGCACCGGCUAACUACGUGCCAGCAGCCGCGGUAAUACGUAGGGUGCAAGCGUUAUCCGGAAUUAUUGGGCGUAAAGAGCUCGUAGGCGGUUUGUCGCGUCUGCUGUGAAAUUCUGAGGCUCAACCUCGGACUUGCAGUGGGUACGGGCAGACUAGAGUGCGGUAGGGGAGAAGGGAAUUCCUGGUGUAGCGGUGGAAUGCGCAGAUAUCAGGAGGAACACCAAUGGCGAAGGCACUUCUCUGGGCCGUAACUGACGCUGAGGAGCGAAAGCGUGGGGAGCGAACAGGAUUAGAUACCCUGGUAGUCCACGCCGUAAACGUUGGGCGCUAGAUGUGGGCCACAUUCCACGUGGUCCGUGUCGCAGCUAACGCAUUAAGCGCCCCGCCUGGGGAGUACGGCCGCGAAGGCUAAACUCAAAUGAAUUGACGG
rnacentral:rRNA from 1 species